rnacentral:rRNA from 1 species
CAAGUCGAGCGGACAGAAGGGAGCUUGCUCCCGGAUGUUAGCGGCGGACGGGUGAGUAACACGUGGGUAACCUGCCUGUAAGACUGGGAUAACUCCGGGAAACCGGAGCUAAUACCGGAUAGUUCCUUGAACCGCAUGGUUCAAGGAUGAAAGACGGUUUCGGCUGUCACUUACAGAUGGACCCGCGGCGCAUUAGCUAGUUGGUGGGGUAAUGGCUCACCAAGGCGACGAUGCGUAGCCGACCUGAGAGGGUGAUCGGCCACACUGGGACUGAGACACGGCCCAGACUCCUACGGGAGGCAGCAGUAGGGAAUCUUCCGCAAUGGACGAAAGUCUGACGGAGCAACGCCGCGUGAGUGAUGAAGGUUUUCGGAUCGUAAAGCUCUGUUGUUAGGGAAGAACAAGUGCGAGAGUAACUGCUCGCACCUUGACGGUACCUAACCAGAAAGCCACGGCUAACUACGUGCCAGCAGC